rnacentral:rRNA from 1 species
GAUGAACGCUGGCGGCGUGCUUAACACAUGCAAGUCGAACGAGAACGGAUUAUAGCUUGCUAUAAUUGUCAGCUAAGUGGCGCACGGGUGAGUAAUGUAUAGGUAAUAUGCCUCUUACUAAGGGAUAACAAAUGGAAACGUUUGCUAAUACCUUAUACUCCUUAUUAACAUAAGUUAAUAAGGGAAAGAUUUAUUGGUAAGAGAUUAGCCUGUAUUGUAUCAGUUAGUUGGUGGGGUAAUGGCUUACCAAGACUAUGACACAUAACUGGUUUGAGAGGAUGAUCAGUCACACUGGAACUGAGGCACGGUCCAGACUCCUACGGGAGGCAGCAGUGGGGAAUAUUGCACAAUGGACGAAAGUCUGAUGCAGCAACGCCGCGUGGAGGAUGACACAUUUCGGUGCGUAAACUCCUUUUAUAUGAGAAGAUAAUGACGGUAUUAUAUGAAUAAGCACCGGCUAACUCCGUGCCAGCAGCCGCAGUAA